GAAGCGGCAGACACAAUGGCUGUAGGGUCUCUCCAAGUUUUGAUUUCUACAAAAAGGCACCAGAAAGCGUAGCGAAAGAACGAGGAUACUCUAAGUCUGGCUUGAAGGGACUGGACCAUUUCCAGAGUGUUCCACAGCCAAACAUGAGCACACAGAGAAAGCAGACCAGAAAAGACAGACAAAUGACGGACCUGGAAAUUAUCUUCAUGUCUCAUUGAGUCUGAGUUAAUACGUGAGACACCAAUAGGCUGGUUUAGAAUUACAUGUCUUCAUGAUUUCAUCUUUAUGUAUUUACUUUUUGGGGUUGCCUCAUAUUAAAGAACUUCAACUUCAUCAUUUUGUUAAAGAAACUUCAGCAAGCAAAAACAUAGACUAUCCACUAAUCUUGCAUAAAAAAUCAAUAUUGCAUUUGCAUCGACUUCUCAGAUCUAAUUUACACUGCAUAUAGAGUAUCCCCCAGUGAAGCUUAGCCCAAAGGAAAGAAGGUAAAGAGAAGAGGAAGAGAAUGACUUAGAUGAGGAGGACAGAAGAACGCAGAAGGGGAGGAGGCCGGGUCACGGAUCAAGGCCAGGUCAGAAGGGGACAGCUGGUGGUACACACAGAAGCAAGAGGAAGGUCAUCAUCCGAAAUUCUAGGACUGCAGAAGGAGGGUGUGUUUAGAGAUUCUGAUUUCUCCAACGGGGGAAGCAGAAAAAGUCCAGAAUCUUAAAUAAUGGGCUUGGGUCAGCCUCAUGCAUUCCAUCAGGUCAGAGGGAGACAGGGUGUGUGCCUGAGGAUCCAGGCAGAGUUUCAGGUGGUAUAAAUCAAGCCCAGUUGAUAGUAGUUGGAGAAGAUUCUAGAGAAGGAAAUAGGAAAUUGCAUUCCUGGGUCAGAAACGGGCAGUCAGGUCUUUACUACUAUACCCUCAAGAAAUGACUGUGAAUUCCAGGACGGCGUCUUCCUAUGCUCUGCCCUACCCAUUACUUACUCUCCUGCAGGGUAUUAGAUACUUCCUGUGCACCA
ensembl:lncRNA novel transcript